rnacentral:misc_RNA from 1 species
ACUCCGUUGGUGAACCAGCGGAGGGAUCAUUACCGAGUUUACAACUCCCAAACCCCUGUGAACAUACCAUUUGUUGCCUCGGCGGUGCCUGCUUCGGCAGCCCGCCAGAGGACCCAAACCCUUGAUUUUACACAGUAUCUUCUGAGUAAAUGAUUAAAUAAAUCAAAACUUUCAACAACGGAUCUCUUGGUUCUG